GAUGAACGCUAGCGGCAGGCUUAACACAUGCAAGUCGAGGGGCAGCACGGGUGCUUGCACUUGGUGGCGACCGGCGGACGGGUGCGUAACGCGUAUGCAACCUACCUUAUACAGGGAGAUAGCCCAGAGAAAUUUGGAUUAAUAUGCCAUAAUAUCAUAAAGCCACAUGGUUUAAUGAUUAAAGAUUUAUCGGUAUAAGAUGGGCAUGCGUAUGAUUAGCUAGUUGGUGAGGUAAUGGCUCACCAAGGCGACGAUCAUUAGGGGGCCUGAGAGGGUGAACCCCCACACUGGUACUGAGACACGGACCAG
rnacentral:rRNA from 1 species